rnacentral:rRNA from 1 species
GUCCGCACUGUAAACGAUGAUUACUCGCUGCUGGGAGGUAACUUUCAGUGGCUUAGCGAAAGCGAUAAGUAAUCCACCUGGGGAGUACGCCGGCAACGGUGAAACUCAAAGGAAUUGACGGGGGCCCGCACAAGCGGAGGAGCAUGUGGUUUAAUUCGAUGAUACGCGAGGAACCUUACCAGGGCUUGAAAGUUAGUGACCGGAUCUGAAAGGAUUCUUCCCGCAAGGGCACGAAACUAGGUGCUGUAUGGCUGUCGU